rnacentral:rRNA from 1 species
GGUUAAGCGACUAAGCGUACACGGUGGAUGCCCUGGCAGUCAGAGGCGAUGAAGGACGUGCUAAUCUGCGAUAAGCGUCGGUAAGGUGAUAUGAACCGUUAUAACCGGCGAUUUCCGAAUGGGGAAACCCAGUGUGUUUCGACACACUAUCAUUAACUGAAUCCAUAGGUUAAUGAGGCGAACCGGGGGAACUGAAACAUCUAAGUACCCCGAGGAAAAGAAAUCAACCGAGAUUCCCCCAGUAGCGGCGAGCGAACGGGGAGCAGCCCAGAGCCUGAAUCAGUGUGUGUGUUAGUGGAAGCGUCUGGAAAGGCGCGCGAUACAGGGUGACAGCCCCGUACACAAAAAUGCACAUGCUGUGAGCUCGAUGAGUAGGGCGGGACACGUGGUAUCCUGUCUGAAUAUGGGGGGACCAUCCUCCAAGGCUAAAUACUCCUGACUGACCGAUAGUGAACCAGUACCGUGAGGGAAAGGCGAAAAGAACCCCGGCGAGGGGAGUGAAAAAGAACCUGAAACCGUGUACGUACAAGCAGUGGGAGCACGCUUCGGCGUGUGACUGCGUACCUUUUGUAUAAUGGGUCAGCGACUUAUAUUCUGUAGCAAGGUUAACCGAAUAGGGGAGCCGAAGGGAAACCGAGUCUUAACUGGGCGUUAAGUUGCAGGGUAUAGACCCGAAACCCGGUGAUCUAGCCAUGGGCAGGUUGAAGGUUGGGUAACACUAACUGGAGGACCGAACCGACUAAUGUUGAAAAAUUAGCGGAUGACUUGUGGCUGGGGGUGAAAGGCCAAUCAAACCGGGAGAUAGCUGGUUCUCCCCGAAAGCUAUUUAGGUAGCGCCUCGUGAAUUCAUCUCCGGGGGUAGAGCACUGUUUCGGCAAGGGGGUCAUCCCGACUUACCAACCCGAUGCAAACUGCGAAUACCGGAGAAUGUUAUCACGGGAGACACACGGCGGGUGCUAACGUCCGUCGUGAAGAGGGAAACAACCCAGACCGCCAGCUAAGGUCCCAAAGUCAUGGUUAAGUGGGAAACGAUGUGGGAAGGCCCAGACAGCCAGGAUGUUGGCUUAGAAGCAGCCAUCAUUUAAAGAAAGCGUAAUAGCUCACUGGUCGAGUCGGCCUGCGCGGAAGAUGUAACGGGGCUAAACCAUGCACCGAAGCUGCGGCAGCGACGCUGAUGCGUUGUUGGGUAGGGGAGCGUUCUGUAAGCCUGUGAAGGUGUGCUGUGAGGCAUGCUGGAGGUAUCAGAAGUGCGAAUGCUGACAUAAGUAACGAUAAAGCGGGUGAAAAGCCCGCUCGCCGGAAGACCAAGGGUUCCUGUCCAACGUUAAUCGGGGCAGGGUGAGUCGACCCCUAAGGCGAGGCCGAAAGGCGUAGUCGAUGGGAAACAGGUUAAUAUUCCUGUACUUGGUGUUACUGCGAAGGGGGGACGGAGAAGGCUAUGUUGGCCGGGCGACGGUUGUCCCGGUUUAAGCGUGUA